GAUGAACGCUGGCGGCGUGCCUAAUACAUGCAAGUCGAGCGAACAGACGAGGAGCUUGCUCCUCUGACGUUAGCGGCGGACGGGUGAGUAACACGUGGAUAACCUACCUAUAAGACUGGGAUAACUUCGGGAAACCGGAGCUAAUACCGGAUAAUAUAUUGAAUCGCAUGGUUCAAUAGUGAAAGACGGUUUUGCUGUCACUUAUAGAUGGAUCCGCGCCGCAUUAGCUAGUUGGUAAGGUAACGGCUUACCAAGGCAACGAUGCGUAGCCGACCUGAGAGUGUGAUCAGCCACACUGGAACUGAGACACGGUCCAGACUCCUACGGGAGGCAGCAGUAGGGAAUCUUCCGCAAAGGGCGAAAGCCUGACGGAGCAACGCCGCGUGAGUGAUGAAGGUCUUCGGAUCGUAAAACUCUGUUAUUAGGGAAGAACAAAUGUGUAAGUAACUAUGCACGUCUUGACGGUACCUAAUCAGAAAGCCACGGCUAACUACGUG
rnacentral:rRNA from 1 species